GGGCGAAUAGCUCAGUGGUAGAGCGCCUCGCUUACAACGAGGAGGUCGCAGGUUCGAUACCUGCUUCGCCCA
rnacentral:tRNA from 1 species